UCCUAGCUGGUGUAGUGGCUAACAUACGACUCUCUCAUGAUUGAGCCUUAGCAGUGCGCAAUGCGGAGGCUCAAUCAGCGCAGUCGUGCCCAGGGUUCGAUUCCCUGGCUGGGAA